GCCAGGCAUGGUGGUGUAUGCCUGUAAUCCCAGAGCCCAAGGAGGCUGAGGCAGGAAGUUUGUAAAUUCAAGGCCAGCCUUAG
rnacentral:sRNA from 1 species